AUUGAACGCUGGCGGCAGGCCUAACACAUGCAAGUCGAGCGGAUGAGAAGAGCUUGCUCUUCGAUUCAGCGGCGGACGGGUGAGUACUGCCUAGGAAUCUGCCUGGUAGUGGGGGACAACGUCUCGAAAGGGACGCUAAUACCGCAUACGUCCUACGGGAGAAAGCAGGGGACCUUCGGGCCUUGCGCUAUCAGAUGAGCCUAGGUCGGAUUAGCUUGUUGGUGAGGUAAUGGCUCACCAAGGCGACGAUCCGUAACUGGUCUGAGAGGAUGAUCAGUCACACUGUAACUGGGACAAGGUCCAGACGCCUACGGGAGGCAGCAGUGGGGAAUAUUGGACAAUGGGCGAAAGCCUGAUCCAGCCAUGCCGCGUGUGUGAAGAAGGUCUUCGGAUUGUAAAGCACUUUAAGUUGGGAGGAAGGGCAGUCAGCGAAUACCUGGUUGUUUUGACGUUACCGACAGAAUAAGCACCGGCUAACUCUGUGCCAGCAGCCGCGGUAAGAC
rnacentral:rRNA from 1 species